GACGAACGCUGGCGGCGUGCUUAACACAUGCAAGUCGAACGGAAAGGCCCUGCUUUUGUGGGGUGCUUGAGUGGCGAACGGGUGAGUAACACGUGAGUAACCUGCCCUUGACUUUGGGAUAACUUCAGGAAACUGGGGCUAAUACCGGAUAGGAGCUCCUGCUGCAUGGUGGGGGUUGGAAAGUUUCGGCGGUUGGGGAUGGACUCGCGGCUUAUCAGCUUGUUGGUGGGGUAGUGGCUUACCAAGGCUUUGACGGGUAGCCGGCCUGGGAGGGUGACCGGCCACAUGGGGACUGAGAUACGGCCCAGACUCCUACGGGAGGCAGCAGUGGGGAAUAUUGCACAAUGGGCGGAAGCCUGAUGCAGCAACGCCGCGUGCGGGAUGACGGCCUUCGGGUUGUAAACCGCUUUCGCCUGUGACGAAGCGUGAGUGACGGUAAUGGGUAAAGAAGCACCGGCUAACUACGUG
rnacentral:rRNA from 1 species